rnacentral:rRNA from 1 species
UUGACUACGGGAGGCAGCAGUAGGGAAUCUUCCACAAUGGACGAAAGUCUGAUGGAGCAACGCCGCGUGAGUGAAGAAGGGUUUCGGCUCGUAAAGCUCUGUUGGUAGUGAAGAAAGAUAGAGGGAGUAACUGGCCUUUAUUUGACGGUAAUUACUUAGAAAGUCACGGCUAACUACGUGCCGGCAGCCGCGGUAAUACGUAGGUGGCAAGCGUUGUCCGGGUUUAUUGGGCGUAAAGCGAG